rnacentral:rRNA from 1 species
AUUGAACGCUGGCGGCAGGCCUAACACAUGCAAGUCGAGCGGCAGCGGGAAAGUAGCUUGCUACUUUUGCCGGCGAGCGGCGGACGGGUGAGUAAUGCCUGGGAAAUUGCCCAGUCGAGAGGGAUAACAGUUGGAAACGACUGCUAAUACCGCAUAUGCCCUACGGGGGAAAGCAGGGUACCUUCGGGCCUUGCGCGAUUGGAUAUGCCCAGGUGGGAUUAGCUAGUUGGUGAGGUAAUGGCUCACCAAGGCGACGAUCCCUAGCUGGUCUGAGAGGAUGAUCAGCCACACUGGAACUGAGACACGGUCCAGACUCCUACGGGAGGCAGCAGUGGGGAACAUUGCACAAUGGGGGAAACCCUGAUGCAGCCAUGCCGCGUGUGUGAAGAAGGCCUUCGGGUUGUAAAGCACUUUCAGCGAGGAGGAAAGGUCAGCAGCUAAUACCUGCUGGCUGUGACGUUACUCGCAGAAGAAGCACCGGCUAACUCCGUGCCAGCCGCCGCCGUAACAC